rnacentral:rRNA from 1 species
GAUCAUGGCUCAGAUUGAACGCUGGCGGCAUGCCUUACACAUGCAAGUCGAACGGCAGCACGGGAGCUUGCUCCUGGUGGCGAGUGGUGAACGGGUGAGUAAUACAUCGGAACGUACCCUGAAGUGGGGGAUAACGUAGCGAAAGUUACGCUAAUACCGCAUAUUCUGUGAGCAGGAAAGAGGGGGAUCGCAAGACCUCUUGCUUUAGGAGCGGCCGAUGUCGGAUUAGCUAGUUGGUGAGGUAAAGGCUCACCAAGGCGACGAUCCGUAGCGGGUCUGAGAGGAUGAUCCGCCACACUGGGACUGAGACACGGCCCAGACUCCUACGGGAGGCAGCAGUGGGGAAUUUUGGACAAUGGGCGCAAGCCUGAUCCAGCCAUGCCGCGUGAGUGAAGAAGGCCUUCGGGUUGUAAAGCUCUUUCGGUGGGGAAGAAAUUGCUUCGGUUAAUACCUGGAGUAGAUGACGGUACCCGCAUAAGAAGCACCGGCUAACUACGUG